rnacentral:lncRNA from 1 species
CUCACAUCGCUCUUUUCGUCAUGCUUGCCGUCUCAUGCUUGAAGAGGUCGGUACCCAAAUCCAAACUUAAAAAUUUUCUCCCAUCUAGAACUUUCUCUUCUUCGUUUCUCUUUCUCCCUUUCCUUUCUCUUUGUCUCUUCUUUCAGACUCUUCACUCAAACGCUCUUUCUCCGUUAAAAAACCAAAAACCCCCUCUCUCAUUCACACCAAUUUUCUUCCUUUUUCUUCUCUUUUUUUUAUGUUGACUUUUACUGAUUUUUUUUUAGUUUUUGUUUUUGCAAGUUUGGUUGGUGUUCUUUAUCUUCUAAUGCUGGAAGACACACCUGGUGAGUGAACAAAAGGGUGACCUCGAUUUACUUCUUCUUCUUCUUAUUGUCUAUUUGUGCAAUAAGGGAUUGUGCUCAUAUGAUUUUUGCAACUCAGCGGCCCAUUCUCUAAGGCUAGUCAACUUAAAUAUUUUCGUUUACAUUCAUUGUUAUGUAGAUUCAUAGCUUUGGUCACAAAAUCAGCUUUGUAGGUCAUUUACCAUGUCUUCCGUUUACAUUCAUUUUUAUUUCAAGCUUACUGUAGUUCUAGGUUAUAUAGGGUUCUUAAUCCUGAAUGUGUUUUUGAUUAUAUAGCUCUUGGGUCUUUCAACUUUCAAUGUUAGUUAAAUUCAUGGUAGAAAAAACAAAGAAAAGAAUUCCAUAGCUGACAUUCGACUGAAAUGUUAAGCAAAAGUAUUAAAAACUCGGAG